UUUCCCGCUUACAGAUCUGUUAUCAAUUCAUAGUGUUUUCUUGUUAAUUUCUCUGUGAACACAGAUGGAAGUAAAUUUCGAUAGCGUAUGAGGCUCGACACUUACACAGGCCCUUUGGCAGAGGAAGCAUACACACACGCAACACGUGGACAACACAAGUACUACAGUGAUCAUUGUUAUAAUAUGCUAAUUACCAUGUAUGGAAAGGCAGCAUUCCUCCAUCGAUGGGAUAUCAAACUGCAGCAAGUCUUGUUAGUAUUGUCACGUGCGAGACUGAUAGAGGUCAUGCAGGGCAUCUCAGACUGAACUCAUCCAGACAAGCACAUGUUGUGAAAGUCCAAACAUUCAAUAGUCAGCUUUCAUAAAUGUUAAACUAAAACGAUGUACUUUGAUGCGUGGUUAGUUUUAUAUUUUUUUCAAAUAAAGGUACGAAAUAUCCCAAUUAGUAUGAUUGUAAAGGUGUAUGUAUAUAGUUGGUAUACAUGUAUAACACUGAGGGGGCGCAAAGAGCACGUGAAUCGAAGGAAGGAGGACUAGUGGCGCGGAGGUAACAAUCAUGUGUGGUCCAUGUGGCGCGGAGGUAACAAGCACGUGUGGUCCAUGUGGCGCGGAGGUAACAAGCAUGUGUGGUCCAUGUGGCGCGGAGGUAACAAGCAUGUGUGGUCCAUGUGUCGCAGAAUUUAGAAGCAUGUGUGGUCCAUGUGUCCCGGAGGUAACAAGCACGUAUGGUCCAUGUGGCGCGGAGGUAACAAGCAUGUGUGGUCCAUGUGGCGCGGAGGUAACAAGCAUGUGUGGUCCAUGUGGCGCGGAGGUAACAAGCAUGUGUGGUCCAUGUGGCGCGGAGGUAACAAGCAUGUGUAGUCCAUGUGGCGCGGAGGUAACAAGCAAGUGUGGUCCAUGCGGCGCAGAGGUAACAAGCAUGUGUGGUCCAUGUGUUGCGGAGGUAACAAGCAUGU